CACCUGCACUCUUCUUUAAAGUCUGCAAAUCUUUUAAAUGCCUUUUUCUGAAUGUACAGCUUGGCAAGCACACCUAGCAACUCUCCAUUGUUGUGUACAACUGCCUAGCUGACUACGACAGCUACACACUCCAGACAGGCUCCAGCUCAGAAUAAACAGGAGAUACUGGAUCUUGUGGGCCCGUGGGGAGAUGAGGCAGUGCAGGCACAGCUACAGAUCAGCCAUAGAAAUGUGGACAUCUACAAGCAGAUUGCAUGGGAGAUGCAGGAGAAGGGGUACAACAGGGACCAGCAGAGGUGCCAUGUGAAAGCAAAGGAAUGGUGUCAGGCAUAUCAGAAGGCCAGGGAGGCCAACAGUCAAUCUGAUGUCAAGUUCCAAACCUGCCACUUCUACAAAGAGCUGCAUGCCAUACUUUACAGAGACCCCACCACCAUACUGCAGACCACCAAGGAGCCCAAGUUAAAGGCCCCUGGCAUGACCAGUGAGGACCAAGAGGAAGAGGAGGAGGGACUUGCAACUGGGGGAUCCAAUAAUGCCUCAAGCCAUCGCAGUCCAGUCAGUCCUGGCAGUUGAGUACAGUCAAACCCAAUGCAAAGGAAGGAAUCUUGGGGCAGAGAGCCCCCCUGCCCCCUCGACUCAACCUGACCUGCGCGACCUUAGGAGCCAGAGGGACGGGACCUGGCUGCUGGAUGCUUCCUGGGAGCCACUCCAGGUGACCUUCCCUACAUUAUACAGUCUUAACGAUCAUCGAUAAUCAAGGUUGUGAAGGAAGGAAGUAGGCUGUCUUGAGGAGGAAGUAAUACAGUAAGCAAUAGGAUACUGUACAUCAUGGGAUCAUGUAUGAAAAGAUAGUGUGUUCUUCAUUUGUACAAUAUCUCAUGAACCCCAUUAUGGAGCACUAAGCAUUGGCCUAACUCAGUGUUGAGUGAUUUUGAAAAUCCCACCAUAGUAGCUAUACGGGCUCUACAUGAACUAGGACAUAUUAAUUCUGUAACCUAAUAGCCAAGCUUCUACUCAUCUGUUUCCACUUUCCAAGGUGGAUUGGACUCCAUGCAUUGAAUAUUUUUCAUAUGCAAGUUUGUAAACAAAUUUAAUUAUGCCAUUUCUUAUUUUGUAGUGUGGUUAUAUAUUGUUGUUGUGUUUAAAGCUUCUACACGGUACACUGGAGACACCUACUGGAAAUGUUAAAAUGAAACAUACAGUUUUUACAAUAUUGUUAUGAGCUGGGUGAAACCUUGUUAUGAUUUGGAUUAAGCCCCACCUAAAACGAAAUGUGUGUUUUAACCCACCCAGGAACUUUUGGGUGGUCUGGGUUGGGUUAGAUUGUUUUGGGUAGGUGUGUGUGGGUGUGGGAGAGAACACACAAAAAGAUCACAGAUAAGAAGGCAGAAGAGAGGCAUGAAAAAGCCAAGCAGGAGCCUUUGAGCAUGGUGUGACCCUGGAGAAAGCUAGAGAGAGAGUUUUUGAGUCUGAUGUUGGCUACAGGGACUUGUGGGGAUUGUAAACUGAGAAACUGCUCCUUUUUUCCUUGGAUCCUUCUGUGGUCAGAGAUACAGGACUUUGUACAUUCCCUGUAAAUAAACAAGAUUGCAUA